rnacentral:rRNA from 2 species
CUCCUGGGAAACGGGUGGUAAUGCCGGAUGCUCCAGUUGAUCGCAUGGUCUUCUGGGAAAGCUUUCGCGGUAUGGGAUGGGGUCGCGUCCUAUCAGCUUGACGGCGGGGUAACGGCCCACCGUGGCUUCGACGGGUAGCCGGCCUGAGAGGGCGACCGGCCACAUUGGGACUGAGAUACGGCCCAGACUCCUACGGGAGGCAGCAGUGGGGAAUAUUGCACAAUGGGCGCAAGCCUGAUGCAGCGACGCCGCGUGAGGGAUGGAGGCCUUCGGGUUGUAAACCUCUUUUAUCGGGGAGCAAGCGAGAGUGAGUUUACCCGUUGAAUAAGCACCGGCUAACUACGUGCCAGCAGCCGCGGUAAUACGUAGGGUGCAAGCGUUAUCCGGAAUUAUUGGGCGUAAAGGGCUCGUAGGCGGUUCGUCGCGUCCGGUGUGAAAGUCCAUCGCUUAACGGUGGAUCCGCGCCGGGUACGGGCGGGCUUGAGUGCGGUAGGGGAGACUGGAAUUCCCGGUGUAACGGUGGAAUGUGUAGAUAUC